CACUAAGGCGCAAGGCAGCUGCACAUCCACGGCCAGCCUCGUUGUCUUCAGGGAUUUGUUCAAAGUUCAUUCUGAAUUGUAAGGUAACCACUGCAGAACACGAGCCUUUCCUGGGUAUGUGUGGUUAUUUCUGCCCUUCACGGUCCCACUCAAGUCCUGCCUCCCUCAGGGAGACCUCCCAGACCUCACCAAGCCGUGGGCACGUGGACCAGAAGCCGUGGACCCCAGAGGCUCAUUUAGGGAUCUGCUUUCUGAACCCAGGUCCUAACAUCUGCACUGCAGCGAGCAUUUCUGGUGCCUCAAGUGAGUCACUCCAACUUCCAGCUCACUGAGAGGCGAUGGAGCACUGAGUGCCAGCAUCUUCCAGCACCAGAGGAGCUGACUCUGAAUAGACAGCUCGGCAGCGGCCUCAGCACAGAGCAGGGGAGCCACCAGCCACAGGCAGCCACUGAGCCCUUGGCAUGUAACCCGGUAACCCAUGCAACAGAAGACCUGAGCGUCCAGUGUUGCUAGCUUGAAGUAACUUCAGUGGUGUUCCCCAGCGUUUUUCUCAUCCCCCUCCCUUCCCUUCCCCUACAGCUUUCUUCCUCUUUCCCCUCCUUCUGAGUCUUUCGUCCCCAGUCCUGGGAACCUUUUUUCUGACUUGGUGUUUUCUCCUGAAUGCCUCCUUCCUGGCCCCCUAAUCAGAAAUGCAGAAGCCACCUGCCCCACACAGGGGGCCACUUUCCCUGCAUCUGGCACUCACCAGGACAGUCAUAGAACUGGCCUUGGGUGCUUGGGGAGAGUGGAGAGGUCUGGGGGGCAUCCACUGGCCUCAGCCUCAGAGCUUCUCAUCAGUAACCCAGGAGGCAAAGGCCCAGCUCAAGAUUAGCCCAGGCCACUGUAUCUGUGCCAAGACCUACAGCUGUCCCUGCAGGGCGUGCAUCUCUGCAGCCCAGGCUAUCACAAUGGUGUCCCUUUUGGUGGGGAUGUGAGGCCUGCUGCUGCCUGGGAAGAAGCUGACAGGAUUGUUGGUGCUGUGGGGAGAAGCUGGUGUAACUGAGACCCAUGAGGGAGGCCCUUUGUGGGUCUGUGGCUGGGAGGAGCUCUGGGGAAGAUGGGCCUUGAGAAAUCCCAGCUUAGCACCUUUGACAGUUGCUCCACUGAGUCACCCUAGACUGCAAUCUCACAGAUGUUCUAACCACCCUCUCCCUGGGGAGCCCUUGGGGGUGCUGCAAGCCCAGUCCUCACUCACUGGCUUUGUGCUUCUCUUCCCGACUUCCUUUUUUUGCUCCUGUUGAGAAAUGUGGGUCCAGGGCUGCGUGCUCCAGUGUGCGGAAGGAAGGGCAGCGUGCUCUUUGGACUGAGCUGGCUCAAGGGAAGCUGGGUCUGAGGGGAGACUGACCUCGACCCUUCUUAAAUGAAACACCUUUUCCCUGCGUCUCAGUCACCGUUACCUGGCCUGAUCACUGUGUGCCACACCCCAUCACAUCCAUCCCCACAAGAAUGCCAGGAGGAGGGGUCAUUGGCCUUUUUGUCAGCACAAACCUCUGGAGGCCCAGCUCCCAAGACCCGCCAGGCACACCUGCCAGAGUGCCUUAACUUGGGAUGUCUGCAAACCUCUGUCCAUGGCCGAACCCACCCCACUGCCUGUUACUGUAAAUAAAGGUCUAUUAGCAUGCCACCAUGCCCCUCCUCCGAUGCAUACAGUGCCCAGCUCAGCACCUGGUGCAAGUAAGCACAAUCUGGCUUCCAGCCAUCACUGCUGUUGCUACUAACACAAAUAUUAGGCCCCUUCUAGAAUGCAAAGAUAACCCAGGGCUGCUCGUUCUGUGUCCAGAUCACAGAGUUUUUCUUUUUAUCCUUAUCAACUUUAUUGAGGGAUAAUUUACAGGCAAUAAAUCAUAUCCAUUUAAA
rnacentral:lncRNA from 1 species